rnacentral:rRNA from 1 species
GCUUGACAGGGUUAUUCUGAGUGAUUUCGCCUAAGGAAAUCUUUUGGCACCUCUAAAAUGGCGCCGAAUAAGGGGUGCGCAAGUCUGGUGUCAGCCGCCGCGGUAAUACCAGCACCCCGAGUGGUCGGGACGAUUAUUGGGCCUAAAGCAUCCGUAGCCGGUUCUACAAGUCUUCCGUUAAAUCCACCUGCUUAACAGAUGGGCUGCGGAGGAUACUAUAGAGCUAGGAGGCGGGAGAGGCAAGCGGUACUUAGUGGGUAGGGGUAAAAUCCGUUGAUCCAUUGAAGACCACCAGUGGCGAAGGCGGCUUGCCAGAACGCACUCGACGGUGAGGGAUGAAAGCUGGGGGAGCAAACCGGAUUAGAUACCCGGGUAGUCCCAGCUGUAAACGAUGCAGACUCGGUGAUGAAUAGGCUUCGUGCCUAUUCAGUGCCGCAGGGAAGCCGUUAAGUCUGCCGCCUGGGGAGUACGGUCGCAAGACUGAAACUUAA